rnacentral:rRNA from 1 species
UACGGAGGAUGCAAGCGUUAUCCGGAAUGAUUGGGCGUAAAGCGUCCGCAGGUGGCUGUGUAAGUCUGCUGUUAAAGAGUGAGGCUCAACCUCAUAAAAGCAGUGGAAACUACACAGCUAGAGUGCGUUCGGGGCAGAGGGAAUUCCUGGUGUAGCGGUGAAAUGCGUAGAUAUCCCAAGGAACACCGGUGGCGAAGGCGGCACGCUGGGUCCCUACUGACGCUGAGGCGCGAAAGCUAGGGGAGCGAACAGG